rnacentral:rRNA from 1 species
CCUACGGGAGGCUGCAGUGGGGAAUAUUGGACAAUGGGGGGAACCCUGAUCCAGCCAUGCCGCGUGUGUGAAGAAGGCCCUCGGGUUGUAAAGCACUUUCAGUGAGGAAGAACGCCUGGUGGUUAAUACCCAUCAGGAAAGACAUCACUCACAGAAGAAGCACCGGCUAACUCCGUGCCAGCAGCCGCGGUAAUACGGAGGGUGCGAGCGUUAAUCGGAAUUACUGGGCGUAAAGCGCGCGUAGGUGGCUUGAUAAGCCGGUUGUGAAAGCCCCGGGCUCAACCUGGGAACGGCCUCCGGAACUGUCAAGCUAGAGUGCAGGAGAGGAAGGUAGAAUUCCCGGUGUAGCGGUGAAAUGCGUAGAGAUCGGGAGGAAUACCAGUGGCGAAGGCGGCCUUCUGGACUGACACUGACACUGAGGUGCGAAAGCGUGGGUAGCAAACAGGAUUAGAUACCCCAGUAGUC